GACGAACGCUGGCGGCGUGCUUAACACAUGCAAGUCGAACGGAAAGGCCCUGCUUUUGUGGGGUGCUCGAGUGGCGAACGGGUGAGUAACCCGUGAGUAACCUGCCCUUGACUUUGGGAUAACUUCAGGAAACUGGGGCUAAUACCGGAUAGUAGCUCCUGCUGCAUGGUGGGGGUUGGAAAGUUUCGGCGGUUGGGGAUGGACUCGCGGCUUAUCAGCUUGUUGGUGGGGUAGUGGCUUACCAAGGCUUUGACGGGUAGCCGGCCUGAGAGGGUGACCGGCCACAGUGGGACGGAGAUACGGCCCAGACUCCUACGGGAGGCAGCAGUGGGGAAUAUUGCACAAUGGGCGGAAGCCUGAUGCAGCAACGCCGCGUGCGGGAUGACGGCCUUCGGGUUGUAAACCGCUUUCGCCUGUGACGAAGCGUGAGUGACGGUAAUGGGUAAAGAAGCACCGGCUAACUACGUG
rnacentral:rRNA from 1 species